CGCCUAGGCCCAUUUUUUAGAGUCUAAAGCACAAGAUGCCGAGGAUAGACUCGAAACGGUUGCCUCUCAGGCUCAAAAGAUGGCUGACAUUGUUACAGAACAAUGGAUUCAAAUUCAGCGGCUUGAGCAGGCUCUUCAUAUUACACAAAACCAAAGGCGCCUCGUGGUUAGCAGAAUUCAAAGGAAUAUGGUUCUAGUCCAGUGACCAUCUAGAAGAUGCAACUUUGCCUGCUACUGAAGUCAAAUCAUCAGAACUGAGUAUAAGGAAUGUUAUAGGAGAAACAAAGACUUCCGUAGCUUCUGGAAAUGAGCAUAUUGGGUAGAAGCGAUUAACGGAUGUCUUCUUAUAAGAAGAUGGAGUCCAAAAUAGUAAAGGAGCCACGCACAGUUCAACAAUGAGGCACCCAUCACCUAUUUCCAGUCCAGGAAAGAUAGUGAAGAAAGAGAUCUCGUGAAUAUUUUUGCUAGUCUCAGUCUAAAGCCUUCGAAUCUUCCUGCUCGAGAUGCUCCUUGGAAG